rnacentral:sRNA from 2 species
GGGCAGUCAUCGCCGAGUCCCCGUCAGGCGCGAGCCUGGGGAGCCGGGGACCCACGCAGUCCCUGGGGUGAAUCGGAGUCCCGAGCCGUGAACCGGCACGGGGAUCCGUAGGAGACCUUCCUGCUCCGAACCCGUCAGCUAACCCGGUAGGCGAGAAGGAAGGAAAG